AGGAUAAUAGUUUAAAAUAUAAAACAUUUGAUUUGCAUUCAAAAAAUAUUAAAAAAUUAAUUUAUCUUA
rnacentral:tRNA from 1 species